AGAGUUUGAUCCUGGCUCAGAUUGAACGCUGGCGGCAUGCCUUACACAUGCAAGUCGAACGGCAGCGCGGGGCAACCUGGCGGCGAGUGGCGAACGGGUGAGUAAUAUAUCGGAACGUGCCCUGGAGUGGGGGAUAACGCAGCGAAAGUUGCGCUAAUACCGCAUACGAUCUAAGGAUGAAAGCAGGGGACCGCAAGGCCUUGUGCUCCUGGAGCGGCCGAUAUCUGAUUAGCUAGUUGGUGGGGUAAAGGCCUACCAAGGCAUCGAUCAGUAGCUGGUCUGAGAGGACGACCAGCCACACUGGAACUGAGACACGGUCCAGACUCCUACGGGAGGCAGCAGUGGGGAAUUUUGGACAAUGGGCGAAAGCCUGAUCCAGCAAUGCCGCGUGAGUGAAGAAGGCCUUCGGGUUGUAAA
rnacentral:rRNA from 1 species